ACUGGGGAGGUUAGACUAAGCUUUCUCCGUCAUCUGUCUUACUAAACGACAUGAAAUUGCGCAACAUUUGUGAAAGUCUACAUCAAUGAGUAAAGACUAUCUUGUUCUCAGAGUGACGUGUCGUAUCACCCUCAGGAUUCCGUCUCGGUGCAUAGAAAUUGCAUCCGCAAUAGUGUUCCAAUUGUUGAAUGUCCCACUGGUAGGAUGGUUUUCUGUCCCAGAGAAUCCUGUGGCAUUGCUAUGAUGAGCCGUGACAUCUCAAAGAGUUCCCGCUUGCCAAUCUAAUUUUUACAAUAUUCUAAUGGCCGCAGCUCAUCUGUUGCCCUGCAAGCCUCAUGAACGGCGCUUUUGAUUGCCAACAAGAGGAAUAGAGCUUCAGGGAAGGCAGAGUUUGUGGUGAACACCGCCGGAAUGUCCGUGAUGGGCUCAGCUUUGACGUUACGCAAUUCUCCACAUUUUCUUCGGCAUAUUCGUCCUUACCUACUACUUGUGUCUCAAUAUCGCUCUCAUGUACCUCCUCCUCUUCAAGCACAUGAAGUGAGUCUCUUUUUGUUUUAUUCCAUUUCGUAGCACUAUUUUGGACUCCUACUUGUUCGCUGCGAAACGAGGUUGAUGGAUUGAUAGUGUCGGGUAGGUAUGGUUUGAUCAAUUUGCAUUCAUGCAUGGGUAAUUCAAGAAUUAGGGUUUCAGAGUGAAUUCGAUUUUACCUUUCGUGCGCUCUACUUGUUGGCAUUUUGAUAUAUUUUGUGGCACUUGGGCAAGUUGAUGUUUGAAGCCUGGUGUUUUUUUUCGUAAGCUUCUGAAAACACCCAGAAUCUGAGUAUGGUGUAGAUCAAAUAACUGGUAUUUAUUUGCACUGUGAGCGUACAGUAUAAUUUUGAGAUAAUAAUUGUCGAAGAUGCAAGCUCUGGCGAAACGCAAGACACAAUGACGACAUUGCAAAGAACUUGCGGCCAGAGUCGGAUAGUUAGAUCAUCAUCAAUCUCAAAACUAAUUCUUCAGAUUAGUAAUGGCGGAAUCUUUUGCGUAUACUUCGAGCCGCAAAACUGGAAUUAGGCAUUACUUUCACUCAAAGUUUUCCCAAGCUUACUCGCAGCAAGGUGCAAACCACCAAGAUGCAUCUAGGUUGAGAUGCAUCUGGGUGUGUCGGGAAUGUCAUGCUCUUUUCUACUCUGGGAUUGCACUGAGUUCAUGCUAGGGAUAAUGAAUAGCAAACUGUCACUGACCUGGAAGCUCUGGUGGGAUUUCGAUGGGUUUUUAUAUCAUUAUUCCAUAUUCCAGGAGCUGCGAUUGUGCAUGGUCUGAGAUACACACUUGGUGACUUGAUCAUUAUUCUGGAUACUGAUCUUGCUCACCAUGUAAAUUUCGUUUUUAAGGUUGCGUGAUAAAUUUUGGACCUAUAAAUUUGAUCGUAGAAUUUAGUCGUAAGUGUGGUUAUGAUUUUUCUGUAAAUGAUUUCAUAUUUCAUUCAAUUUGUCUUGCAUGAGAAUAAACGUUCUAUAUUAGGUUUGAUCAAUUACACUGUUGGAAGAAGCUAAAUUUGUAAUCCUAAUCGUAUAUGUUUCAUCGCUGUUGAUGUUUCAGUAACCUUGAGGGUCAGUAGUAUUGCUGUAUCAGCAUCUUAACCUAUGGCAAGUGAAGCUGGGAAUGAACAGGAAGCAGUUGGAAACAAAUGCAGAUAUUGUCACAGGAACUCGGUAUGUAAAAGGAAAAAGUGUUCACAGUUGAGACCUGCGGCUCAAAUUAGCGAACCGAGGUUCCAACCACAUUCGUUGACAGGGUUUGUGGGAUCUCAAAGUUCGUGGGCACAGAAAUCGUUCAACAUUUUGAAGGGUUUCUUAAUUUAGAUGGCUUGAUAACCAUGUGGGAAAACAGGCAUGACUUGAUUUUAAUGCAGAUUCCUCCAGAUGUGGGAUUUUGUUCGGUAUUAAACCAGAGUCUUUUGAGGCAAUCGUGUCUAGUAUUGCAGAGAAGAUAAGCCUCUGCCGUGGUUGGCUACGUCGAACGUCCAUCUAGAGUGAAAGCUGGUUAAGGUAAACAAGUAAUCAGCAGUUGGAUGAACUCCAAAAUGAUGCUUUCAAAAGAGAAAAUGGGAAGUCACAACCGCAAUACCAGGUCUCGGUGCGUCCUAUUGAUGCCUGCAACUAUGGAAGGGGAACUGGUGGCUGAAAUGAGAACUCGAACAAAAACUUGAAGUCGGAUUCUUUAUUCUCGCUUCUUAUUUUGCUCUACUUCUUAGAAGCAAAUCUUUUUCCAAAGAAUAUGAGUCACAAGUGCACGGUACAGGAAACAAUUCUUUGAAAAACACAGUGUAGUUGGAGUUUAAUUUGACUGGGCUCCCAAUGAUGUCUUUCUUUGGCACUUCAGUUUUUUUAAUAUAAGGAUUCAAAAGCA